rnacentral:rRNA from 1 species
GACGAACGCUGGCGGCGUGCUUAACACAUGCCAGUCGAACGCUGAAGCUCAGCUUUUGUUGGGUGGAUGAGUGGCGAACGGGCGAGUAACACGUCAGUAGCCUGCCCCCUUCUUUGGGAUAACGCCCGGAAACGGGUGCUAAUACUGGAUAUUCACUGGUCUUCGCAUGGGGGUUGGUGGAAAGGGUUUUUCUGGUGGGGGAUGGGCUCGCGGCCUAUCAGCUUGUUGGUGGGGUGAUGGCCUACCAAGGCUUUGACGGGUAGCCGGCCUGAGAGGGUGACCGGUCACAUUGGGACUGAGAUACGGCCCAGACUCCUACGGGAGGCAGCAGUGGGGAAUAUUGCACAAUGGGCGCAAGCCUGAUGCAGCGACGCCGCGUGAGGGAUGGAGGCCUUCGGGUUGUGAACCUCUUUCGCUCAUGGUCAAGCCGCAACAAUGGUUGUGGUGAGGGUAGUGGGUAAAGAAGCGCCGGCUAACUACGUG